GUGGAAAUUAUUAAGAAGAAGUGGAACAAUUUCAGCCAAUCUGCUAAGGCUGCUAUUGCCAACCACAAGGCAGGGUUGACUGAAACAGGAGGAGGCCCAUCUACAGGACCGCUGAAGCCACUCUAUGAAAAAUUUUGGCAACACAUUCUAGG